rnacentral:rRNA from 1 species
CGCGGCCUAUCAGCUUGUUGGUGGGGUUAAGGCCUACCAAGGCGACGACGGGUAGCCGGCCUGAGAGGGUGACCGGCCACACUGGGACUGAGAUACGGCCCAGACUCCUACGGGAGGCAGCAGUGGGGAAUAUUGCACAAUGGGCGCAAGCCUGAUGCAGCGACGCCGCGUGAGGGAUGACGGCCUUCGGGUUGUAAACCUCUUUCAGCAGGGACGAAGCGCAAGUGACGGUACCUGCAGAAGAAGGACCGGCCAACUACGUGCCAGCAGCCGCGGUAAUACGUAGGGUCCGAGCGUUGUCCGGAAUUACUGGGCGUAAAGAGCUCGUAGGUGGUUUGUCGCGUUGUUCGUGAAAACUCACAGCUCAACUGUGGGCGUGCGGGCGAUACGGGCAGACUGGAGUACUGCAGGGGAGACUGGAAUUCCCGGUGUAGCGGUGGAAUGCGCAGAUAUCAGGAGGAACACCGGUGGCGAAGGCGGGUCUCUGAGCAGUAACUGACGCUGAGGAGCGAAAGCGUGGGGAGCGAACAGGAUUAGAUACCCUGGUAGUCCACGCCGUAAACGGUGGGUACUAGGUGUG